rnacentral:rRNA from 1 species
UAGGGAAUAUUGCACAAUGGGCGAAAGCCCGAUGCAGCAACGCCGCGUGGGCGAUGAAGGCCUUCGGGUCGUAAAGCCCUUUUUGAGGGGAUGAGGAAGGACAGUACCCUCAGAAUAAACCUCGGCUAACUCCGUGCCAGCAGCCGCGGUAAAACGUAGGAGGCGAGCGUUAUCCGGAUUUACUGGGCGUAAAGCGCGUGCAGGCGGAUUGGAGAGUUGGAUGUGAAAGCUCCCGGCUUAACUGGGAGAGGUCGUUCAAUACUUCCAGUCUUGAGUGCAGUAGAGGGAAGUGGAAUUCCAGGUGUAGUGGUGAAAUGCGUAGAUAUCCGGAGGAACAACAGUGGCGAAA